CUGACUGCCCAGGGGAGGCACCAAAGAGCUUUGGGGACUGUGCACCCUAGGGACAGGGACACCGCCCUUGUCUCCCAGAGCUGGCCUGCUGUUUGCCCCACCCUGGAAGCAGGCGGAGGAACUGGCUCCCUGAACAGUGAGAACUUGAGGAGAGAGGGAAGGAGCCCCACGCUGGUCACCGCUGAGCGGCCACAGGGCUCUGGGCGCGCUGCAGUCCACAGGCCCCCAUGGGGCUGGGCUGGCCUUCCGGGCAGGGGCUGGCCUGGCUCCUCCUGGACGGGCCUGGGUGUCUUGGCAGGAAUGGUGGUGUCGACAGGCCCCUGACAAGGGGCUUCCUCUGUGUUCCCGGGAGCCGGCCCUGUGUGUGGCAGUGGCUGUAGACAGACGUGAGGACCCGCGUGUCCUGGUAGGUGUGGGUGUGGGGGUGGUGCCCGCGGGUCUGUGAGCAGCAGGACGUGUGUGUGACCGUGUGUGUGACUGUGUGUCUGUGCAUGCGUGGGCGGGAGUGUGAGCAUCGCGGGCACAGCGGGCCCUCUCUGCCGCGGAGGGCCUGCCGUCCAGCACCUCCAUCCUUCCCUGGGCUCGCACCUGCUGGGGGACUGGGGCAGAGUCCUCUGAUGCCCUGAGCUUUGUGGGAGGGUCAGUUGGGAGCAUUCCCACAGCACUAGGGGAGGGCGGUGGCUGCUGGCUCCCUGCUGUUUCUGACCACAAGAGCUGGUGCUCCUCUCUGUGCCCUGGCACCUGCCCAGGGCCUGGCCUGUGCGGGGCUGGUGGGGUAUGCAGAGCUGAACUGCCCUUGAGAGCCUUGUGGGUGCUGGGGACACAGGGGAAUGGGCAACCCAGGGAUGAAUUGGGCUGAAGGGUGGGUCUACCAGGGACCAGAUGGGGACGUGGGUGCCCCUCUCAGGGGACAGCCAUGCCAACCCCAAGGUCGAGGCAACACCUGUGCUAAGCCCAGACUGAACAGGACUCCUGCCAUCCCUCACAUCUACCCCACUCCUGCUUCCUCUGGAUGGGGCAGAGGCCUGUGAGGGGCUGGUGCCCUGCGUCCCUGCAUGAUGAGCAGGUGAAUGGCAGGCAGGCGAGUGGGUCACUGUCAAGGCUUCUGGGUGUCUCCAGCAGCCAGCCAGACUUCCCUGACCCAAGCAGCAGAGCUUCUCUGACACCUGCAGACCAGCCCAGGGAGCAUGCGGGGGGAUUCAGGCCUUCACAGUCCUGCGGGGAAGCUCAGGGAUGGGCUGGCUGGGCUCUGCCCAGGCUCCCAGAUCUAGAAGAGCUUCCAAGAGGCCUAGCCUGGGCCACCCGGCCAGGGGCCACCCUUAACAACAAUCCCACCAAGGCAAGGUCUAAUGUGGAGGCCAAGUUCCCCAAGUCAGUCUGUAGGAAAAAGGGGGGUGGCUGCUGGUCAGGCAAGUCAUAGCCCUCCAGGACCCUCACCUUCCGGGAACACAAGGCCGGAGGUGGCCUUCUUGUGGCAUCUGGUGUCCUCAGGUUGAGGCCAACUAGCAGGUGGAAGGUAGGUUCCAACCUGCUCCACUAAGACGGCUGCCACUGCACGUGUCCCCGGGCUGCUGACCUGAGGUGGAGGCCCCUCAGGCGACAGGGCGAGGUGGCAGCUCUGCAGGGCUGGUUUCCUGAGAGGCUCUUCCCAGCUCUGAGGCCCCCAAGACUCUACAGGGCAGGAGGGGGAAUCUCACCCCCGCCCCCCGCCCAACCUCGUCCUGCUGGGAGGAGGUCCCUGUGGUAUCCUCUUGUACAGACGACACGCAGGGCUUGUUCCUGGUGCCUGCAUUUCUCUGUCUGGCCAGUAAGCCCGGCCUGCCUCAGCCCAAUUAUCCAGUCAGCCUCCUGCUGCCAAUGGCCUCCCGUGGGUGGGAGGUCGGCCUCCUCUGGCACCAGCUGGUGUGGCAGCCGUUUUCCAACCUGAGCCUGUCCCAGCUGUGAGGUUGGAUGACCCUUAUUUUACGGACUUACCGUGAGGACUGCCCCUGUAACUCCCCCGGCUGAGCCCCACGUCUGCACACUGGCCGCGGGAAACAGGACACCAGCUGGACCGGGAGGAGCCGAGGGUGUGCGUGCUGGGGUCCUUGGAAGCCCAAGAGAAAGCUCAUCCAGGGACACAGCCCCCCAGUUCCCUUCUGUCCAGGAGAAAGCCCCUCGCUCGGGCCUGGCCUCGCUCUCUGCUGGUCCCUGCUGGGGCUGCCUCCUCUCUCCUAGCUUCCCAGCCCCGCUACCUGCCCAGUGAGCUCCGGGCCUCCGCAUUUCCUCAGAUUUCUGAGCCACGGAGAUCCCUUUUCCUCGCUGGGGGGGGAAGGGGCGCCUGGAGGCAGGCAUGGUUUUCUUUCUUUGCUGUCACACAGAUGGCGUCCCUACCUGGUGGGGGCCCCUGGAGACUGUCGGGUCGAGAGUGGUUUGUAUUGUCACCAUCAUCGUCAUAGAAAACAUGGGCUUUCAGGUCCCAGUUGCCCUUGGCUGAUGAAGAUUCCCGGGUUCUACAGUUUGUUUGUGCACCUGACCCACAGAUUCAUUCCAGGACAGGGUUUUCCUUGUGCUCAAAUAGCCCAGCACGAAGUCGGGGCUCAUUAUACGUCGUUACAGGUCUCUAUUCAAGGUCUUUAAAGAGGACAUGUUGAUGUCAAGUGAGGACACAGCUAGUGAUGCUUCUGCCUAGAACCUUCACUGGCUCCCCAGCACUGCUCUAUAGGACAGCAUUCAGCACCUUGGUGUUCUGGGCUCUUCUGGCUUCUUAGCUGUCCCUGAAUGGUCACAUUUGGGUAUGCUGUUUUUGCCGUCUUCAGUACUCUUACCAUGUCUCCCUGGGAUGGCCCCAAUUCACCUCUCACUGUAGGUUUGGUCACCCCCAGCCUCCUCCAGCUCUACUCUAGAGCAGGAGGCUACUGCUGGUCUCAUGGAACCCCUCCCUCCCGCCAGCACCCUGCUGGCCUGGCUCAGGAUCACCAUGUCCUCUUAGGAGUACCCUCCCAUCUCUGAGCUCUAGGAGGGCAGGACUGUGCCUGUCCCAGUACCGGCAGCAUGCGGGACCCACAAAGGGCUCAAGCAAACGAGGAAGUGGGUGUUCUUGUUUUGUUCCGUGUUUUAGCAAAGAAGUUUCAGUUCUGGUUCAAGAGGAUGCAUUACGUAUUCCUCUUCUCAAUGAUGUCACCUCUGGCUUUGAAGAAAAUUUUGAAAAUGAUAAGCACCUUGCUUACUGGGUUCUUUCUUCAACAUAGCAUAUGGUGUGUUGAGUUUUUCAGUCAGAUCAAUUAUUUGUUCACACACACACACACACACACACACAUCGACAUCCAGCAGUUUGGCAAAAUUAAGUCCCUGCUUUCCUCUGCCUGGACUCUGGAUCUGGGAUCUACAGCCCAGGUUCCCAUGGGGCCUGCAGGAGCCCAGCCCAGGAGCAGGCGGGGGAGAGACCCGGACAGGCACAUUUUCUGUUUCCAUUUUCAGACAAUUUCAUGCUCUGGGGAAAAUGCUUUGAGAAGAGGCCCCCCUCCGCCAGCCUUCAGCAGGUUAGUUUAGCUUAGUAAUUAGCAAUCACAAUAUGAGCUGGGAUAAUUAUCCCCAAAAGUCAAAAGAAAAACACAGAUGUUUUUAAAGCUGCGCAGUAGAGACUUUGCCUUUCGAUUGUAAUAAUUUAGCAUGCAAAAUGAAUUAGACGCUGGCUUUUCCUGGGACUUAAUUUCCAAGGUAGGUUGAGGAAAAUCCGACUGUUUUUGAAACGAGCAGUCUUGGACGAGGAGGUGGGAAAACACAGGACAAUUUUCAGAAUCCAGCAAGAGGUGAGGGAGGCCGGAUUGAAUAAACUAAGGAGUUCUCUGCCCCUGGGACUGGAGUUCAAGCUUCCUCAUCUUUGAAAACCCGUGGGAGGCUUCUCUCUGCUGAAACACAGAUUGACAGGUGUGUGCUUGAGGCUUGGUGUGGCUGCCACGGCCCCCGAAGGUCAAGAGCAGGAUGGAUCAAGACAGAGGACACUCCAUCCCCCUGGUCAGCUCCAAGGAGGCUCAGGGCGGCUCCGAGGCUGCAGCUCAGUCCUGCGGGUGCCUCUCCCGUUUCCUCACUGUGCCCCCACCACUGUGGGAAGCUGUUUAGCAGGGAGGUCUCGAGGGGUGAAGGUAAUUUCCGUUCUGCCCUCUGAAGGUUUGCUGGGAUACACUGACAGACACCGGAAACCGGGGAGACCGUUUGCAAACUUAUCACGUGCGCAGGGGAAAUCACUGCCCCUGACCUAACACAACUCAGAAACCUACAUGUGUCGGGGAGGGCAAGAUGGGAACACUAGAUCAUUUUUAGGGGAGCUCAAUGGGCUUGGAGAACAUACAAGGGCUUGGGACAAAGUCUGAUUCAACCCUCUGGAGACAGGUGAGGCUGAGAGCAGCCACCAGCCAAGCCUCGCAGCAUCUGGAGUGGGCUACGCCUGCAGAGAGAGGGGAGCUGGCCGAGACAGCAAUGUCCCCCACUACCACACGGAUGCUGCGCAGGAGCUGCAGACCCCCUCAGGGCAGGACCCUGCAGCCUGGGGGAAGAGCAGCCUGGCUUUAGCAACCUGCCUGGUUGGCAGGGCUUUUCCCCCUGGUUGGAGGUGGGCAGUGAAGUGGCAGGUCAACUUGGCCACCAUGUCCCUGAGUCUGUUUCAUUCAGAGCUUGCUAAGAAUGGUUGAGAGGUACGUGUAACAGGCAAGGGUUCUUUCCCCUUCUCUUAAGCAUGAUUUGGGCUUUUGAACUUUCUCUCCUUCUGUUUCCUGGUAUGCUGUUGCUGCUGAGAAUCAUGGGAGUCCCCAGGAGUCCUGUGGCUGCAGGGGAAGAUCACACCAGCAAUGUCAGUCAAGGGUUGAGCAUCUGAGUAGGCCAAGGCCCAAGCCAGGGGCUCUCAGAGGAGUAGCCUGAUGUUCCGAGAGGUCCAAGGCCACACAGUUGAUGGGUGUCAGAAGAUCAGCACUCCUGGCCUUCUCUCUGUAUCAUUCCCCAUAUGGGCCCCAAGCGCUCCUCAAAGUGGCAGGGUGCAGUUGAUGGUGGAAUAAAUGAGGUUGAAAUAUGCAAGGACUUGGUGGAAUUAUUUAAUCAGCCCCAUAUUAGAAAACACGUGGCUUCAAAUUGGAUGCCAGGGCCCGUGUGUCCUGCUCUUCUUCCCAGUCCUGGACCCCGCACUGCCCUGAGUGGGUGCCCUGGGUGUCAGCAGCAGCUAUAUCCCCAGUUCUUCAUAGCCAGGGGGGUGCCUCCCGGGCAGACUGGAGAGGCAUCCUGAGCCCCUGGGAGGACCCUGGGUUGGAGACGGACACUGUGCUGCUGUGGAAUGUCCAGUGGACCAUACGUCUUCCCUAUCUGGAGUCACUCUCAUUUUCAGGAUCAGCAACUUCCUGUUUGUCUUUUAGGCUAUUUAUUCCACAUUUUCCAAUAAUACAAAUAACAAGGGCAAUGAUUAUCUUCAGUUCUGCCUACAUCUUGACUAAUUCCUUUGAGAUAAAGCCUUAAAAUAAUUACUGAGCCAAGUUCACCCAUCUCUUAAAGGCUUUCUCCAUGGCUGCCAGAUUGCUUAUCGUGAAGAUUUAAACCCCAGGCUUGUGGGGGGCGGGGUCUGCCCCUUUGCUUUCUGGAUAGGGCAUCAUCUUUGCUAAUCUACUUGGAGAAAAGUAACAUCCCAGUAUUCUAAUUUUCCUUUAUUUGUUUAAUGGUAUUAAAAGUCUCAACAAAUUCAGUCUAAAGAUCUAUUGGCCUUCGUUAGUGAUCCACGAAGGGAAAUCAUCUCACCUAAAAAUUUAGAAAAGGUGUCCAAGGACCCGAGCAGAGAAGGUGUGCUUACUAGGCAGACAAAGGACCAAAUAAGCAGAAUCAGGGAACAACAAGUGGGUUGGUCAUUUCAAAGUUACUUUAGAAGGUUAGCAGAGGGGACUUGCUCAUCAUGCCGGCUGGGAUGGCCUCUUCAGGAUCUGGCCAUCAUCUCUCUCCUGGUUUCUCAGAAGGUUGGAGACUUCACUUAGUUUCCGUUUGGUGACGUGGGGCUGCAUCAGGAGCGACUCCAUUCUGGCCUGGUCCUGGGGGCUCAGUGCGGGAGCUCAGCCUCUAACAAUGGCAGCUCUUAGAUCCCACUUGACAAGGGUGAGGCUGAGCGGGUUUCCUGGGAUUGAGGAUCAUUCGUCUUCCUGGGUGGUUCGCCCGCAUAUGAUCUUUGCCCACAUGUCCCUGGUUGUCCCACUCAAAGCUGCUUCUCCUGUGCCAAGCUAUCAGCUGUUUGCGCUCACACUCAGCCGGCUUCUGUGGUUCUGCGUUUACACUAGUGGCAUCUAGCACGAUGCUCCCAGGAAGCCACACGUGGCUGAAACUUUGGUCUAAGGCACUGUCUCCCCCCCACUCCCACUUUUUAAAAUUGAAGCUUGGCUGAAACUGGAGAGUUCAGUGGGGAGGAAGUUCAAGGGGUCAGAGCAUAUCCUGUUCCUCAUUUCGCAAACCACGCUGCUAAUUGCCCAAUUUAGAGUGAUUUGGUGGCAACGCUUGGCAGCAGAAUGAGAACUGCCUCACGCGUGAGGACAGCUGGGAUAUUUUCAUUCUGCAGGGUGGCGAGUACAGGAAGUCCCGCUCCGAGGCCUCUGGGGCCCAGAAUGCUGGUUUUGGAGUGGCACAGACCUGGGUGUGAGUCUGGGAUCCGCAUUGACUGAGUCCGUGUGACCCUGAGUUGUCGUUCGGCCCUCCGGAGCUUCCUGUGCCUGAAAAAUGGGCUUUCCAGCUUGCCCUCCAAGAAGACGCCACCUUGGCAGGCGAGAGGGUGCCACCCAGGGCCAGGACCCCCCUCGGACCCCCGAGGUAUGAACUGUGUGCACAGCAAAUCUCCGUUUCUCCCUCCCUCCGUGCAGGGCUCCAUUUCCUCUCCCGAUCUGUAACCCAGCCUUGUUUUCCCACAGCGCUGAAUGGAAUGUGGCCACCGCGUCCGGGGCUUGUGGGUUCUCCGCACAGAACUCUGGGUCAUGCCCUUGGCAGGAAUCCCCGCUGGCUGCAGAGCGCAGGAAGGGACCUUCCAGGCCCCCUUUGCCCUUGCCCUUCUUACAGGAAAUGGAAAUGCGACAGGGAAUUUGUGACUAAAUAAGCCCAAAUCGGAAACUGGCCUGGUGAUGGCGAGGCCAUGGCCGCGGAGCUUUCCCUCCCGGGUGCCAAGCCCCGCGCUCAGCGCCGCAGUGCACAAGCGCCACACCACCCGGCUGUUCUGCAGCUGCCACACCACUCUCCCCUGGGGGCUCCCUGAGGGGACUCAGGUCCACACAGCCAUGUGCACACUCAACACACUCACACAAACACACACACCACACACACUCACAUGGACACACAACCACACUCACACUCAGAAAACACAGAGACACAGAGACACGCACACACACAGAUACACACACACACGCCACUAACAGUCAUGUGAGUUCAUUCUCACACAUUCACACGGACACACGUGUGCAGGCUCACACACUAACUCACAUGCACACUCUACAUACAGCGACACCGAGACACGAUACACACCCACACGUAUACACGAUUUAAAAACUCACGCGGGCUCACUCUCCCCUUCACACUCACACACACAAGCACGCAGACACACACUCACACAGACACACACAGCAUUGGAGCCCACUGUUGUGAGCCCGUGCUUGAGCUGCAGUGCUGGGCUGGCUCCGGGCCUUGCCACAGGGAGGACAAGUCCAGACGGAGAACCGCCCAGAAGACUGGGGGCCCGAGUGUCCUGGAAAACCACAGGAUGAGGGUGACCCUCAGGAGAAGAGACCACUCAGGGCCUCCGUGAGCUUUCUGUGGGGCCCAGAGCAACUGCAAGGAGGCCUGGACACGGGGCCAUCUUAGAGGGGCAGAUUUGGGCUCAUAAAGGACUAUUAGUCAAGUUCAUAUGGAGCUGGGCCAGGGUGAGGCGUGAGGAGGACGGAGCCGAGGCCUGGUCUUCAGGGGAGGCCAGACCAGUGAAUCAGGGGCUCAGAGAGAUGGCAGGCUGUGGGGCAGAGUCCAGGUGGCCAUCUGAGCCCACAUGGGAAUGAGCUGCUGGUCACCAGUGUGCCAGGUGGGGUCGAGCAGCCAGGGCACGGGCACAUGGGCAAGGGGCUCCAAGACCCAGGAGGAGGCUGGGAGGAGUUGCCAAGCAAGACCCAGCAGCAUGACUCAGGCCACUGUGCUGCACUGGACCGUCUCUUUGUCUCCCACCCCUCCUCCCCCUUUCUCAGGUGGUCUCCUCGGAGCACACCUCUAGUACCAGUGACCGGGAAUAAAGAGUGAGUGGCCCAGCAGCCCAGGGAACCCUUUCCUUGACCAAAAUCACCUGUUUCAGCAGGUGAUGGCUGCAGGUGGGGGGCCAAGGGCUAGAGGGGUCAGGAGAGACGGAGGACAGCAGGCCCUGGCUCUGCUGCUAGUUUGCUCCGGGUGCCGAGUCCAGCACUCCGAGGCAGGUCACUUUGCCUCUCUGGGCCUCUGCUGGAGUUGUGCUUUCUGAUUUCAUGGCCAUCCCAGCCCUGAGGGCUACAAGUGACCCUGGACUCACUGUGCCCACCGAGGGUGGGUGGGCGGACACGCCCUGCCGUAGGUGCCAGCCCAAGAUCAAAUGGUCAGGCAGGAAUGUUUUUUCAGUGAGGCUAUUUAUUCCUUUGGGGUUUCAGAACAAAACCCCAGAGGCAAAAACCACUUACUUCACAGUCCCCAGCGGUUUCUUUCCAAGGAUGGUACGAGCUGAGCAAGGACGGCUGCACCAGAACUGGGAUCUUUCUCUCCACCCUCCUGGGUAAACCUCCAUGCUGGCCACCCCACUGUCUGCUGCAAACGUGGACUGGCGUCUAAACAGAUAUCCCUGGAGCCUGCUGUUCCAAGGGAGGGGGGAUCUACCAACGGCCCAAAGUAAAUGGAAACAUAAACACUUCCAGGAACGUACGUUUUAAAAUGCAAAGAGCAUGCCUGGAGAUUUAUAAUGUGUUACUGUGAUGGGCUCCCACCUCCCAACCCUUGACUGAUCUGAUGCUGGUUAGACACCUGCCAAUCAGACGUGAACUUGGAACGUUUCUCCAAGGGUCACAAAGUAGGUGGAGGUCCUUUCCAUCAGCCACACCGACCCGAGUGGCCCAAGCAGGGCCAGCUUCUUGGGUGGACAGAGGACCCAAGAGCCUCUGGUUUGAUUUAAUGUUCAGUUGUCUUGAAGGUCUUCAUAAUCAUUAAACAAGGGGCUUUGUACAAUAUGCGUCUUGAACUGUAGAGCCAAUUUAAAACGAUCUCAAAACAUCUAAGACAAACCCAGAAAUAUAAGCAGAACUUGAGAAAUCCAAGUUGAACACAUCUCUAUUAAUCAGGCAGCAAGCAAAACAGCACAGGUAUUGAGUAAGUUUGAUUUAUACAGGAAUAUGCAAACUGUAGCCAAGAUGUAUUUACAAAAGUUUAAGGGCGUAUGGAUGUUCAUAAAAAUCUACAGUGUAAAUAAUUUAUUAAGGGAACAAAUUCAUUUUAUUCAAGUAAAUCUCAACAAAUACCAGAGCAUUAAGGUCAUACUAACUGUCUCUGAGCACAAGCAAUUACAUUAAAAAUCAACAGUAAACUCUUCAGCCUUCCACAUCUCAUGAGAAUGUCUCUUAUUGGUGGACUCCAAACAGAAUUCUGAAAGGGGAAUCUGAAAAAUACAAUCUUUUAUUUAUUUCUGGCUCCUGGUCAGACCUUAGAAGGACUGGGAGAGUUCUGGGAGCUAACAGAUAGUGUCUACCACAAAAUGCAUUCGGAAAUUAAAAAAACAAAAGAAAGAAAGAAAAAGAAAAGGAGCCAAAACAAUAACCAGAAAAAGUAAAACAAAAUGAAACAAAACUAAAAAUCCCUGUGAAGUUUUAGUCACGUACAUUUGUGAAUUUUCUUUGAAAAGUAAGAUGUACCAUGCAAAUCUAAGAUAUUUUAUACCUGUAGGGGGUUCAUUAUCAUAGGUAGGACAUUUCACUGAAAUAAUUUUUUUUCCUGAAAAAAUCCAGAUAAUUGUCACU
rnacentral:lncRNA from 1 species